GGUAGGUUGGCUGAGAGGCCGAAGGCGCCCGUUUCGAAAACGGGAGGACCGCAAGGUUCCGUGGGUUCGAAUCCCACACCUACCUCCA
rnacentral:tRNA from 3 species